CAGCCGCCGCGGUAAGACGAACCGUGCGAACGUUAUUCGGAAUUACUGGGCGUAAAGCGUGCGUAGGCGGUGAGUUAAGUCUGCUGUGAAAUCCCCGGGCUCAACCUGGGAAUGGCAGUGGAUACUGGCUCGCUAGAGUGUGUCAGAGGAUGGUGGAAUUCCCGGUGUAGCGGUGAAAUGCGUAGAGAUCGGGAGGAACAUCAGUGGCGAAGGCGGCCAUCUGGGACAACACUGACGCUGAGGCACGAAAGCGUGGGGAGCAAACAGGAUUAGAUACCCGCGUAGUCCCUGUCUCUUAUAC
rnacentral:rRNA from 1 species